GACAGAGGUGCCAAGCGUUAGGCGGAAUCACUGGGCUUAAAGCGUGUGUAGGCGGAGUGCUAAGUACCUUGUGAAAUCCCACGGCUCAACCGUGGAACUGCUGGGUAUACUGGUUCUCUUGAGCGACCCAGGGGCGAGCGGAACAAACGGUGGAGCGGUGGAAAUGCGUAGAUAUCGUUUGGAACGCCAAAGGGUGAAAACAGCUCGCUGGGGGUCUGCUGACGCUGGAG
rnacentral:rRNA from 1 species